GCAAGUCGAGGGGUAACGUUGUCUUCGGACAGGCGACGACCGGCGCACGGGUGCGUAACUCGUAUGCAACCUACCAUUAACAGGAAGAUAGCCCCGAGAAAUCGGGAUUAAUACUCCAUAACACUAAGAAGUGGCAUCACUUUUUAUUUAAAGCUCCGGCGGUUAAAGAUGGGCAUGCGUGACAUUAGAUAGUUGGUGAGGUAACGGCUCACCAAGUCAACGAUGUUUAGGGGUUCUGAGAGGAUGAUC
rnacentral:rRNA from 1 species